rnacentral:rRNA from 1 species
AUUGAACGCUGGCGGCAGGCCUAACACAUGCAAGUCGAGCGGUAGAGAGAAGCUUGCUUCUCUUGAGAGCGGCGGACGGGUGAGUAAUGCCUAGGAAUCUGCCUGGUAGUGGGGGAUAACGUUCGGAAACGGACGCUAAUACCGCAUACGUCCUACGGGAGAAAGCAGGGGACCUUCGGGCCUUGCGCUAUCAGAUGAGCCUAGGUCGGAUUAGCUAGUUGGUGGGGUAAUGGCUCACCAAGGCGACGAUCCGUAACUGGUCUGAGAGGAUGAUCAGUCAACCGGGAACUGGGACACGGUCCAAACCCCGAGGGGAGGCAGCAGUGGGGAAUUUUGGAAAAGGGGGGAAAGCCUGAUCCAGCCAUGCCGGGGGGGUGAAGAAGGUCUUCGGAUUGUAAAGCAUUUUAAGUUGGGGGGAAGGGCAGUAAAUUAAUACUUUGCUUUUUUGACGUUACCGAAAGAAAAAGCACCGGCUAACUCUGU